rnacentral:rRNA from 1 species
AGGAUGAACGCUGGCGGCGUGCCUAAUACAUGCAAGUCGAGCGGUAAGGCCACUUCGGUGGUACACGAGCGGCGGACGGCUGAGUAACACGUAGGAACGUACCCCAAACUGAGGCAUAAGCACCAGAAAUGGUGUCUAAUACCGCAUGUGCUCUUCGGAGUAAAGCUACGGCGGUUUGGGAACGGCCUGCGCAUGAUUAGCUUGUUGGCGAGGUAAUAGCUCACCAAGGCGACGAUCAUUAGCUGGUCUGAGAGGAUGAUCAGCCAGACUGGGACUGAGAACGGCCCAGACUCCUACGGGAGGCAGCAGUAGGGAAUUUUCCACAAUGGGCGAAAGCCUGAUGGAGCAACGCCGCGUGCAGGAUGAAUGCCUUCGGGUUGUAAACUGUCUUUUAUCUGUGACGAUUAUGACGGUAGCAGAUGAAUAAGGAUCGGACUAACUCCGUGUCAGCAGCCGCGGU